rnacentral:rRNA from 1 species
GAUGAACGCUGGCGGCGUGCCUAAUACAUGCAAGUCGAGCGAAUGGAUUAAGAGCUUGCUCUUAUGAAGUUAGCGGCGGACGGGUGAGUAACACGUGGGUAACCUGCCCAUAAGACUGGGAUAACUCCGGGAAACCGGGGCUAAUACCGGAUAACAUUUUGAACCGCCUGGUUCGAAAUUGAAAGGCGGCUUCGGCUGUCACUUAUGGAUGGACCCGCGUCGCAUUAGCUAGUUGGGGAGGUAACGGCUCACCAAGGCAACGAGGCGUAGCCGACCUGAGAGGGUGAUCGGCCACACUGGGACUGAGACACGGCCCAGACUCCUACGGGAGGCAGCAGUAGGGAAUCUUCCGCAAUGGACGAAAGUCUGACGGAGCAACGCCGCGUGAGUGAUGAAGGCUUUCGGGUCGUAAAACUCUGUUGUUAGGGAAGAACAAGUGCUAGUUGAAUAAGCUGGCACCUUGACGGUACCUAACCAGAAAGCCACGGCUAACUACGUGCCAGCCGCCGCCGUAA